rnacentral:rRNA from 1 species
AGUGAACGCUGGCGGUAGGCCUAACACAUGCAAGUCGAACGGCAGCACAGGAGAGCUUGCUCUCUGGGUGGCGAGUGGCGGACGGGUGAGGAAUACAUCGGAAUCUACUUUUUCGUGGGGGAUAACGUAGGGAAACUUACGCUAAUACCGCAUACGACCUACGGGUGAAAGCAGGGGAUCUUCGGACCUUGCGCGAUUGAAUGAGCCGAUGUCGGAUUGGCGAGUUGGCGGGGUAAAGGCCCACCCAGGCGACGAUCCGUAGCUGGUCUGAGAGGAUGAUCAGCCACACGGGAACUGAGACACGGUCCAGACUCCUACGGGAGGCAGCAGUGGGGAAUAUGGGAAAAUGGGCGCAAGCCUGAUCCAGCCAUGCCGAGUGGAUGAAGAAGGCCUUCGGGUUGUAAAGCCCUUUUGUUGGGAAAGAAAUCACGCUGGUUAAUACCCGGUUGGAAUGACGGUACCAAAAGAAUAAGCACCGGCUAACUUCGUGCCAGCAGCCGCGGUAA